UACGUAGGGGGCGAGCGUUAUCCGGAAUUACUGGGCGUAAAGAGUGCGUAGGUGGCACGAUAAGCGCAGGGUUUAAGGCAAGCGGCCCAACCGAUGUAUGCCCUGCGAACUGUCGAGCUUGAGUGCAGGAGGGGAAAGUGGAAUUCCUGGUGUAGCGGUGAAAUGCGUAGAUAUCAGGAGGAACACCAGUGGCGAAGGCGACUUUCUGGACUGUAACUGACACUGAGGCACGAAAGCGUGGGUAGCAAACAGGAUUAGAUACCCUGGUAGUCCACGCCGUAAACGAUGAGCACCAGGUGUCGGUCCCGCAAGGGAUCGGUGCCGAAGCCAACGCAAUAAGUGCUCCGCCUGGGGAGUACGCACGCAAGUGUGAA
rnacentral:rRNA from 1 species